rnacentral:rRNA from 1 species
UACGUAGGUGGCAAGCGUUGUCCGGACUUACUGGGCGUAAAGAGCACGCAGGCGGUCAGAUAAGUCGAAUGUGAAAGCCCCCGGCUCAACUGGGGAGGGUCAUUCGAUACUGUUCGACUCGAAGGCAGGAGAGGGAAGUGGAAUUCCCGGUGUAGUGGUGAAAUGCGUAGAUAUCGGGAAGAACACCCGUGGCGAAGGCGGCUCUCUGGGACGGUACUGACGCUGAGACGCGAAAGCGUGGGGAGCAAACAGG